GUGGAUUAGAUACCCUGGUAGUCCACGCUGUAAACGAUGAGAGCUAGUUGUCGGCACGCAUGCGUGUCGGUGACGCAGCUAACGCAUUAAGCUCUCCGCCUGGGGAGUACGGCCGCAAGGUUAAAACUCAAAGAAAUUGACGGGGGCCCGCACAAGCGGUGGAGCAUGUGGUUUAAUUCGAAGCAACGCGCAGAACCUUACCCACGUUUGACAUGUCUAGUUUGGUCGUCAGAGAUGACUUCCUUCAGUUCGGCUGGCUAGAACACAGGUGCUGCACGGUUGUCGUCAACU
rnacentral:rRNA from 1 species